UGAUUUUGGUCGCCAACGAGUGGCGGACGGGUGAGUAACACGUAGGUAACCUGCCCAGAAGCGGGGGACAACAUUUGGAAACAGAUGCUAAUACCGCAUAACAGCGUUGUUCGCAUGAACAACGCUUAAAAGAUGGCUUCUCGCUAUCACUUCUGGAUGGACCUGCGGUGCAUUAGCUUGUUGGUGGGGUAACGGCCUACCAAGGCGAUGAUGCAUAGCCGAGUUGAGAGACUGAUCGGCCACAAUGGGACUGAGACACGGCCCAUACUCCUACGGGAGGCAGCAGUAGGGAAUCUUCCACAAUGGGCGCAAGCCUGAUGGAGCAACACCGCGUGAGUGAAGAAGGGUUUCGGCUCGUAAAGCUCUGUUGUUAAAGAAGAACACGUAUGAGAGUAACUGUUCAUACGUUGACGGUAUUUAACCAGAAAGUCACGGCUAACUACGUGCCAGCAGCCGCGGUAAUACGUAGGUGGCAAGCGUUAUCCGGAUUUAUUGGGCGUAAAGAGAGUGCAGGCGGUUUUCUAAGUCUGAUGUGAAAGCCUUCGGCUUAACCGGAGAAGUGCAUCGGAAACUGGAUAACUUGAGUGCAGAAGAGGGUAGUGGAACUCCAUGUGUAGCGGUGGAAUGCGUAGAUAUAUGGAAGAACACCAGUGGCGAAGGCGGCUACCUGGUCUGCAACUGACGCUGAGACUCGAAAGCAUGGGUAGCGAACAGGAUUAGAUACCCUGGUAGUCCAUGCCGUAAACGAUGAGUGCUAGGUGUUGGAGGGUUUCCGCCCUUCAGUGCCGGAGCUAACGCAUUAAGCACUCCGCCUGGGGAGUACGACCGCAAGGUUGAAACUCAAAGGAAUUGACGGGGGCCCGCACAAGCGGUGGAGCAUGUGGUUUAAUUCGAAGCUACGCGAAGAACCUUACCAGGUCUUGACAUCUUGCGCCAACCCUAGAGAUAGGGCGUUUCCUUCGGGAACGCAAUGACAGGUGGUGCAUGGUCGUCGUCAGCUCGUGUCGUGAGAUGUUGGGUUAAGUCCCGCAACGAGCGCAACCCUUGUUACUAGUUGCCAGCAUUAAGUUGGGCACUCUAGUGAGACUGCCGGUGACAAACCGGAGGAAGGUGGGGACGACGUCAGAUCAUCAUGCCCCUUAUGACCUGGGCUACACACGUGCUACAAUGGACGGUACAACGAGUCGCGAACUCGCGAGGGCAAGCAAAUCUCUUAAAACCGUUCUCAGUUCGGACUGCAGGCUGCAACUCGCCUGCACGAAGUCGGAAUCGCUAGUAAUCGCGGAUCAGCAUGCCGCGGUGAAUACGUUCCCGGGCCUUGUACACACCGCCCGUCACACCAUGAG
rnacentral:rRNA from 2 species